rnacentral:lncRNA from 1 species
CAACUAACACCGAUGGGAACACCCCAACACGCCCAUUGAAUUCUCCUUCCCAAAAGCCAUCGUCAUCCUGAUUCUCCUUGUUCAAGAUGCGGAUGAUGGCUCCUUCUGGGAAGGACAGCUCGUCAUCUGUCUGCCCCUCAUAGUCGUAAAGUGCUUUCACAAAGCAGACACUGGAAUCUCCAUUCAGGCUGCCUGACACCAGGUCAGCCUCUGUGGAAUUGUUGGAGGUGUGGGACCGACUGUCCAGUGCAGCAAGGGACUGCAGCAUGCUCAGCAGGCUGCUGGAUGUUGGGAACUGCAGGUACUUCUCUGGGACGUAGCCCACCUGGCCGGCUUUAUUCCGUGCCUUUACCCAGUCUUCC